UACGAAGGGGGCUAGCGUUGCUCGGAAUCACUGGGCGCAAAGCGCACGUAGGCGGACUCUUAAGUCAGAGGUGAAAUCCUGGAGCUCAACUCCAGAACUGCCUUUGAUACUGGGAGCCUUGAGUUCGAGAGAGGUGAGUGGAACUGCGAGUGUAGAGGUGAAAUUCGUAGAUAUUCGCAAGAACACCAGUGGCGAAGGCGGCUCACUGGCUCGAUACUGACGCUGAGGUGCGAAAGCGUGGGGAGCAAACAGG
rnacentral:rRNA from 1 species